rnacentral:lncRNA from 13 species
AGGGACUGUAGGGUGUCUAGUUAUGGCAAAAUCACACGAGAGAGAAAGGUAUAUAUGAUGCCUCUCUUUUAAUCUUCACGCGCUCUAACCUUCUCACGUCAAGCAGCGAGUAUCAUUUUCUUAAAAACAUGCGUUAAUAUUAAAAAUAAAAGAAUAUUAAAAAAUGGGUGGGUGUUAAGCCUCAUUUUACAGUAACUCACAGGCCAAAGGCUAUUUAAUGAAAGUGUUUUCCAGAAACAGUGAACGUCGUGCUUUAUGGGUGAAAAACAUGGGAAUAUUAAAUUGGACGCCAACAAACAAUUCAUUACUCUGCGAGGUACAUUUUGCUGCAGAGAUGUGGGAGAAAUGAACUGAUAUGAAAAAAUUAAAACCAAACGCAAUUCCCACAAUAUUUGGUUCCUUUUUAAAAAAAGAAAAACAAAUAAUUGUUAAAAAUAAUGUCACAAAAGUAUUAACUGAAAACAAAAUAAACAUAAAUAUCAAAUCUGCUGAAUUGUAUUAAUCUGUCGACGACAUUCAACUGGAUGAACAUGUUGGAGAAGUGCAAAAACAAGAAUUCCAGGUAAUUAAUAAUAUAUCUGGAUCUGCUGAAACAUAUCAGCCUGUCGACGACAUUCAACUGGAUGAACAUGUUGGCGAUGUGCAAAAACAGGAAUCCCAGGCAAUUAAUAACAUACCUGGAUCUGCUGAAACAUAUCAACCUGUCGACGAUAUUCAACUGGAUGAACAUGGCAAUGUGCGAAAACAGGAACUCCAGGUGAUUGAUAAUGCAUGUGAAUUAUCAACGAUAAGUUCACUUUCAUGUUUAACUGAAUGUAAAGAAAAACAAGAGAAACGAUAUAAGAAAUUAAAGGAUUUUAUCCGAAGGCAGCAAAUAAAUAUUGUUCAAAGAAAAAUAUUGUGCGAAGAAAAAUGAAAGCUUUGAGAUUUUAUCUACAUGCCUAUGAAAAUAAAGAAAUAAAAAGAAUGAUAAAUAUAAAAAUGCUUUAAAGUCUAUAUUUACAGAAUGUCAAAUUAAAGCCUUCUUUAAAAAAAAUCGAAACAAUCAUGUUUGGUCACACAAAACAAUUGAAUAUGCUUUGCAAUUAAAAUUUAUUUGUGGCGCAAAUGGAUGUAUGACACUUCUUCGUCGUGGACUGCUACUUCCAAGUAUACGAACAUUACAACGAAAAUUACAAGAUUUUCAGUUUGAACCUGGAAUUUCGGAAGUUCUGUUUGAAUUUUUAAAAAAUAAGAAAGCUUAUCUUAAAAAUGAGAAUGACAUAGAAUGCGGAUUAGUAUUCGAUGAAAUGUCCAUUACAUCAAAAAAAUCUUACAAUCCUUUAACUGGAUCAGAAAUAGAUCAUAAACAAAGCUGAGGGAAUAGGGUACCACGUGAAUAUUAUCACAUCAGACAUGGGUCCCGGAAAUAUAGGAUUAUGGAAAUUAUUGGGUAUAAGUAACGGUAGAUAUAGUACAAUUGUAAAUUAUAUUGUACAUCCAUUUGAUAAAAGUCGGUAUUUAUUUAUUAUUGCUGACCCACCACACGUUUACAAAAACCUUAAACAGGCCUUAAUUAAUAAUUAUUACAAUUCAUAAUAAUAUAGUAAUUAAAGAUAAUUUACCUUCGAAUCAAGUACAAUUAAAAGAUUUCAUUGAUUUAAUAAAUAUUCAAAAUCAGAACUUUUGUUAACAUCUAGAUUAAGUGCAGAUAAUAUACGUUGCAACAAUUUUAAUAAAAUGAAAGUAAAUAAGGCUAAAAAUAUGUUUUUUAAUGAAGUAAGCAGUUCUUUACAAUUGUUAGCGGAUGAAAAUAAACAACCGGAAUACGUUACAA